GACGAACGCUGGCGGCGUGGAUUAGGCAUGCAAGUCGAACGGUAUCAUCCUUUCGGGGGUGAGGGAGUGGCGAACUGGUGAGUAACACGUAGGUUAUCUACCCUCAAGACGGGGACAACCCAGGGAAACUUGGGCUAAUACCGGAUGUGAGCAACUUUUAGUUGUUUGAAAGGUGGCGUAAGCUGUCGCUUGGGGAUGAGCCUGCGUCCUAUCAGCUAGUUGGUGAGGUAAUGGCUCACCAAGGCGACGACGGGUAGCCGGCCUGAGAGGGCGACCGGCCACACUGGGACUGAGACACGGCCCAGACUCCUACGGGAGGCAGCAGUGGGGAAUAUUGCACAAUGGGCGAAAGCCUGAUGCAGCGACGCCGCGUGAGGGAUGACGGCCUCGGUUGUAACCGUACUUCUAGCAGGAAGAAGACGAAAGUAGACGGUACCGUGCAGAAGAAGCACCGGCUAACUACGUGCCAGCAGCCGCGGAAACUAGUACUACG
rnacentral:rRNA from 1 species